GUAGGUGAACCUGCGGAAGGAUCAUUAACACGAAUACAUCCAUAUUCACACUCAACGGCAACCGUUUAUCCUCCCUGCUUUACAUUCUUUUUUUCUUUAUCUUUAUCAAUCACUUGAUGAGAUAAAGCAUAGAGAUGUCAAACAGGCUAUCCGCCUUUUCCUUCCCUCGUUGAAGGAAAAUGCCCCAAUUUUCAACCAAAACCCCAAUCACCUUUCCGCUUGUGUGUGUCCUUUGUGUCCGCAGAAGCGA
rnacentral:misc_RNA from 1 species